GGUUCCCUGCGACGUUCGAUCACGGACAUAUAGCUUUCUUGACCCUACAAUCAUACGCCUCAGGGGAGAUGGCGGUAGCCGCUUUGGUGUGCAAGUCCGCUGCGAGCGGAAAGCCUAAAAAGCGGUUCUCCCUCCCCGACCUGAACCGCAGGGUUCAAGGGCGUUGUCCGAACGGCGUUGCGGGGCCCAC
rnacentral:other from 1 species